rnacentral:rRNA from 1 species
GAUGAACGCUAGCGGCAGGCUUAACACAUGCAAGUCGAGGGGCAACACGGGUAGCAAUACCUGGUGGCGACCGGCGCAAGGGUGCGUAACGCGUGAGCAACAUGCCCUAUACAGGGGGAUAAUCCAGGGAAACUUGGUCUAAUAUCCCAUAGUAUUUAGAGGUGGCAUCACCACUAAAUUAAAGCUUCGGUGGUAUAGGAUUGGCUCGCGUGACAUUAGCUGGAUGGUGGGGUAACGGCUCACCAUGGCGAUGAUGUCUAGGGGUUCUGAGAGGAAGACCCCCCAACUGGGACUGAGACACGGCCCAGACUCCUACGGGAGGCAGCAGUGAGGAAUAUUGGACAAUGGAUGGAAAUCUGAUCCAGCCAUGCCGCGUGCAGGAAGACGGCCCUAUGGGUUGUAAACUUCUUUUGGAUGGGGACGAAAAAACGGGAUUUAUCCUGGACUGACGGUACCAUCAGAAUAAGCACCGGCUAACUCCGUAGCCAGCAGCCGACGG